UCACCCCAUUCCCAGUUAGCGCUCUCUCUCUCUCUCUCUCUCUGAUUCAAGAUGUGAGCUCUCAACUCUUCUGUCAACAUGGACUAUAACCCUCUAAAACCCUAAAGCAAAUUAAUUCUACUUUCAUAAGUUGACUUGAGGUCUUAGUUAUGGUUAUUUUGAAACACCAGGUUCAAAAAGAAGAUGAGGAGGGAAGUAUUUGGCUUAUACUUCCACAUCAUACUCCAUCAUUGAAGGAAGUCAGAACAGGAACUCAAACAGGAUGAGAACCUAGAGGCAGGAGCUGAUGCAAAGGCUAAAGAGACCCCAGGACCCAGGACCACCGACCCAGGGGAUGGUACCACCUACAGUGGACUGGGCCCUCUUCCAUCAAUCACUAAGAAAGUAUCCUACAGGCUUGCCUGCAGCCCAGUCUUACAAAGACAAUUUCUUCAUCAAGGUUUCUCCUCUGAGUUGAUUGAGUAUAGUUUGUGUCAGGUUGAUCUACACAUAGCCAGCAUAACCGACUGCUUGUCAGUUGUAGUGGGUUGGCCUGAUGCUGCUUGUACUCUGAUGCUAAUAUUGGUUCCUCAAGAUCUGGGUGCCCCAGAGACAAGGGUCUGGGCAUAGACCCAAGUGACACCACAUGACCUUGCCUCCAAGUUAUUUCUUAUUGGUGAAUAGAGAUGCCAAUAACCUGGGCAGAGGAGACAUAGACAGGUUUUAGUGUUUCCGGGCUUGGGGCCAGGAAGAGAAGCCACCACCACCACCGUGGAUCAGAUGAGCUCAUAAAAAUGUGGCCCUGAAGCCUGGCCAGUGGAUUUAAGAGGAGCCCAGAGAAACACAGAUCCAGUGGGGAACCCUCAAGAUGCUCUGAUGACCAGCAGGAGCCUGAUUUCCUAGGGACUAGAGGCUGCUUAUUUCUUCUCCUGCCCCUGCUAACUGUGCCAGGUGCCUGCUGUGUGUGGAUAAAAGGGCCCCACACACCACAGAUAUCUCUCCCCCUUCCUCUCCCCUUCUCCUCCUCUGCUCUCAUUUCUCUCAACCUUACCUCCUGUGUGUUUCCAUGUCUCUCUCUGCCUGUCUGCCCUUUUCCCUCCUUACUGUUUCAACUCUGAGGCACCUUUCACUCUCCUCUCCCAAAUAAACCUCUUACACGAGA